CGUUUGGCUCCUCCUAACUUUUCAAAGCGCGCAUACUCCGUAUCUCAAUAUCCAAAUGAAUAAUACCAGAUUAAUCAAAGAAUCCAUAUAAUACAUAUACAUGUAAAAGAUAAUUUAGCACAGUUUGUAUAUAGAUAUAUACAUAUGAUGUAUAUCUUUGAGAGAGUGUAACACAUUUCCUCGGUCUUGAAGAACAAGUUACGAAAUUGCGAAGCGCAAUCCUGUAUGAGAAAAGAUCGAAAGAACCUCCCCCGGCAGUCUCUACUACCUAGUACCCAUUUUCCACGAUGCUGCGCGGAUGAACGGAGGACGGAGGUCCUAUAUGUCCUAUUUCCGGCCGAUAUUUAAAUCCGAGAGGGACCGAAUCCGCUCGACCUUAACCGAAGCGUUCGAGUCCGGCUGUCACAUUCGUGGUGUUCGUAGCGUACGGCGACUACGGCAUGCCGAAUACCGAAUGUCAGUCUCUCGUGCUCGUGCCGACGACGGCGACGGCGACGGCGACGGCGACUGUGACGGCGGCAGCGUCAGCGGUUGAGCGGUGUAACGCGGGCGGGCGGUAAUGAAAAUGGCAACGCGCCGCGAUGCGUCUCUUCUGCCGCAUACGACAGUCUCGACCCUCGACGGGGUACGUACGGCUGCAAAUUGCGCUGCUUUAUCAAUCUGAAAUAACAUGGGCGUGGAAUCUACAAUUAACGAUGACGCAAAAAGCUUACGCGAGAGCUUCGCCGAUCAACGGAAGGAUCACGUUGCGCCGUUGCGCCGGUUGCGGUAUGGCUAAUUCCACAGACACGUAGACGAAAGUAAUCGAGAGCAUGGUCAAAAGACUUGACAGAUUCCGCUGUGAUAAGCAAUUACUGUUGCAUUUACAAAGUCUUAUUAUCAUUUGUCUUUACAAAUGUCUAACUCUGUUUUGCCAAAGUAUUUGAUGAGUAUUACUUGUACGUUACAUACUACGAAGGCUGUACUAUGUCAUUUGCUUUUGCAAUAAUACUUUUGAAUUAAUACUUUCGCUAUCCUCUGCUUGCAAACUAAAAAUAUCUGUAAGAACAACAAUGACAGUUUUUCACAUGUCCUUAGAAGAAAGAUAAAAAAAAGAUAGUACCAAAGUUAUUUUAAAUUUGUGAACAACGCUACGUUUCUCUAACACGGAAACAUUUACUUAUUUUUAACAGUUUAUCAAGAACUUGUAAAAAAAACAUACAUGUAUUAUGUACUUAUAAUGACUUAUGUAAAACAAUAUAUAU